GAGGGACAGGAGGGGGUACAUGAGGACAGUGAGGGACAGGAGGGGCUACAUGAGGACAGUGAGGGACAGGAGGGGCUACAUGAGGACAAUGAGGGACAGGAGGGGCUACAUGUGGACCGUGAGGGGUAAAAGGGGGCUACAUGAGGACAAUGAGGGACAGGAGGGGCUACAUGUGGACAGUGAGGGGUAAAAGGGGGCUACACGAGGACAGUGAGGUACAGGAGGGGCUAAAUGUGGACAGUGAGGUACAGGAGGGGCUAAAUGUGGACAGUGAGGUACAGGAGGGGCUACAUGUGGACAGUGAGGGACAGGAGGGGCUAAAUGUGGACAGUGAGGGACAGGAGGGGCUACAUGUGGAUAGUGAGGGAGAGGAGGGGCUACAUGAGGACAGUGAGGGACAGGAGGGGCUACAUGAGGACAGUGAGGGACAGGAGGGGCUACAUGUGGACAGUGAGGGGUAAAAGGGGGCUACAUGAGGACAGUGAGGGACAGGAGGGGCUACAUGUGGACAGUGAGGGCUAAAAGGAGGCUAUGCAGAUGGUGGUACAUGCAGACGCUUGCUAUGUUACGAAAACCAUGAGAUGUACAGGAGUUGGGGUUGGAUAGAUGCAGAUGGUAAGUAGUCACAAACUGUAGUGUAGAGGAGGUAGACAGGUGGUGAUCACAGACUGUAGUGUAGAGGAGGUAGACAGGUGGUGAUCACAGACUGUAGUGUACAGGUGUAGACAGGUGGUGAUCACAGACUGUAGUGUACAGGAGUAGACAGGUGGUGAUCACAGACUGUAGUGUACAGGAGUAGACAGGUGGUGAUCACAGACUAGUGUAGAGGAGGUAGACAGGUGGUGAUCACAGACUGUAGUGUAGAGGAGUAGACAGGUGGUGAUCACAGACUGUAGUGUACAGGUGUAGACAGGUGGUGAUGACAGACUAGUGUACAGGAGUAGACAGGUGGUGAUCACAGACUGUAGUGUACAGGAGUAGACAGAUGGUGAUCACAGACUGUAGUGUAGAGGAGGUAGACAGGUGGUGAUCACAGACUGUAGUGUAGAGGAGUAGACAGGUGGUGAUCACAGACUGUAGUGUAGAGGAGGUAGACAGGUGGUGAUCACAGACUGUAGUGUAGAGGAGUAGACAGGUGGUGAUCACAGACUGUAGUGUACAGGAGUAGACAGGUGGUGAUCACAGACUGUAGUGUAGAGGAGUAGACAGGUGGUGAUCACAGACUGUAGUGUAGAGGAGUAGACAGGUGGUGAUCACAGACUGUAGUGUAGAGGAGUAGACAGGUGGUGAUCACAGACUGUAGUGUAGAGGAGUAGACAGGUGGUGAUCACAGACUGUAGUGUACAGGAGUAGACAGGUGGUGAUCACAGACUGUAGUGUACAGGAGGUAGACAGGUGGUGAUCACAGACUGUAGUGUACAGGUGUUAGGUCCUUUAAUGUUCCCAUUAGAGAUACCUUGUGAGGAUAAAGCAGCGUCAGACAUUCUGUGUAGUGAUGACAUUUAAUGUUAUAGUCAGACCAGAAGUGUUUCCACGUUGUCUUGUCAGCGCCCGUCUGAACCGCAUGGCGUGAUGCCAUCUCUGGCCUUUAUGGCAAUAAUCUCAUCAUCAAUCACCCCAUCCCCCUAGCUCUCUACCACCUUUAAUAUCAAGUGAAACCCCCACAUGCGGCUGCGGCCCUGUGGGGGUCACCACUCCAGUAUCUGCACUGUACAUUCACUUUUACAAUAUGUUUUGUGAAGAUUUUUUUAUGUCUUUUGUUACGUAUCUGAUAAUAUUAUGAGGUAUAUAUGUAUAUAGCUUUUACCACAAUGUUGCCUUUUGGCUGCAAUAUUGAAGAUUGUAAAUGACAUCUGUGUAAUAAAGUCACAGACACUUCCAUCUCG